GCAAAUUUAAGUAUUACUAAAAGAGCUCCCAGAUACUGAACCCAGCCUCAGAUACUAGAGCUUUAAGCCGAGGUCAGACUCAGUCCAGUCCACCAUGCUGCACCUCUUUGUGAUCGGGAUUGUGAUGGCCAACACCUUUAUUACUGUGGUUUACUGGAUCUACAUCCUGACACAGGCCUUUUACAGGGGGACUGAAGAGGAGUCGAAAUCUAAGGAAAGCCCAUCAUAACCAUGAUCUUCUGAUCACGACAGAAGUAUAGUGCAGCUUAAGAGUAUAUUUAGAGGAUAUUUUUAGCAUUCUAUUAUUUGUAUACUUGUUUAUUAUUACUUUUUUUAGUUUAGCUUGUAGUCAUCUUUCGAUUGAUUUAGGAUUAGUGGCUCCACUGGCUGCAGAGCUUCAUCUCCAUCAGAGCUUCAGCUUCAGGUAAUGUAUUUUUUUAUCUGUGCUUCUGGAAAGCCUCGGCGGAGUACCGGGAAAAUGCCGGGAACAAAAUACUUUCUCCUGUUUGGCUGUGGGUAUUACAGCUUAUUUUGGCAGAGGCUGAGAUUAAACUCUGCGCAGAUUGUGUGACGGAGUGGCUUUGCUUUUACAGAUGGUGUUUGUCUCUUUCUCUCUCUCAUUUCUCUCUCUCUGUUCAGAUUGCUUUGGUUGCCAGAUUGAAGAAAAUACCAUUCACCCUCUCCAUUCUGCCCACACGACUCCAGCCGAGUGUACAGAAGGACGUCUCAAGCUGAAGAUUCAUCCAGAUCUUCAUCCUGCAAAAGUGACAUCCAUUAAAAGCAGCUUUCCAGCAGACUGGCUUUUUGGACCCAACCUGGAGGAGGAGGAGGUGGUGGUGGUGGUGGAGGCGGAGUCGCUGGAGUCUUCUGGAGGGGAGGAGAGAGCUGGAGAAAGAAGAGUCAGAUGGGGGAGGAGAAUCACGGAGGUGGUGGAGGAGAAGAGAACAAUAUUACCAGGGAUCAAACUCUCUGUAACAUCCUGAUGACGGCAUUAUCCUGACGGUUCUCUAUCUGGAACCCUAGAGAGACAACACUUACUGCAGUGGUUCCCAACCCUGGAGAACCCUUUGCUCUGUGCAUUUUAGUAGUCUCCUGCUAUGAAGUUGAAGGAGGGGCUUGUUAAUGAGCUGAUUAACUGGAUCAGGUGUGAGCACUAAAAUGUGCAGGGCUAGGGGGAUGUACUGGACCAGGACAGGGAUGAGAGUUGGGAACCACUGUCCACCUAGAGCUCCUUCAAGACCUUACUGACUGUGUGUUGUGUUGUAGUGUAAUGUACAUUAGUAUAUUGCUCUAAUAUACUCUAUACUGCACACUACUCUAUAGAGUAGUAUAGUAUCCAGUAUAUGUAUAAUCCCAUUUAUUACAUUUGUCUAUUGCUCAUAUACAGAGUUAAUUAGUCAUACCAAGAAAACUCUCAUUAGUGUAGAGUGGGGAACCUGCUGGACUAGGGAAUCAAACCCUUGUUUGGCACCGAAAGGGCAGUAGUGUUAUCCACUACACUACACCGACCUUCCAUGGUUAUCUCCACAUUCUUAUUGGCUUACUUGUUAUUAAGUAUUAUUAAGUUAUUUGAUGAAAUUAAACCCAUAUUGCUGAAUAUUACUGCCCAGUUAAGGUACAUAAAGGUCAGUUAUGGCAAUACAAAGUGUACUUUGAAUAAAAUUGGCCCUAAAAUCCUCA
rnacentral:lncRNA from 1 species